rnacentral:tRNA from 1 species
UGCAUCGUACGGGAAUCGAACCCGGGCAGCCCGCGUGGCAGGCGAGCAUUCUACCACUGAACCACCGAUGA